rnacentral:rRNA from 1 species
AACGGAGGGUGCAAGCGUUGUUCGGAAUUACUGGGCGUAAAGCGCGUGCAGGUGGUUUUCUAAGUUUCGUGUGAAAUCCCAUGGCUCAACCAUGGAACGGCACGGAAAACUGGAAGACUUGAAUACGGGAGAAGAGGGCGGAAUUCCCAGUGUAGAGGUGAAAUUCGUAGAUAUUGGGAGGAACACCGGUGGCGAAAGCGGCUCUCUAGACCGAUAUUGACGCUCAUACGCGAGAGCGUGGGUAGCAAACAGG